rnacentral:rRNA from 1 species
GAACCGUACAAACGUUAUUCGGAAUUACUGGGCUUAAAGGGUGCGUAGGCGGUCCGGAAAGUUGGGUGUGAAAUCCCUCGGCUCAACCGAGGAAUUGCGCCCAAAACUACCGGGCUCGAGGGAGACAGAGGUGAGUGGAACUUAGGGUGGAGCGGUGAAAUGCGUUGAUAUCCUAAGGAACACCAGUGGCGAAAGCGACUCACUGGGUCUCUUCUGACGCUGAGGCACGAAAGCUAGGGGAGCGAACGGGAUUAGAUACCCCGGUAGUCCUAGCUGUAAACGAUGAGCACUGGGUCGGAGAGUCUUCCCAUAACUUUCCCGGCCCGAAGCGAAAGUGUUAAGUGCUCCGCCUGGGGAGUAUGGUCGCAAGGCUG